rnacentral:rRNA from 1 species
GACGAACGCUGGCGGCGUGCUUAACACAUGCAAGUCGAACGGAAAGGCCCUGCUUUUGUGGGGUUCUCGAGUGGCGAACGGGUGAGUAACACGUGAGUAACCUGCCCUUGACUUUGGGAUAACUUCAGGAAACUGGGGCUAAUACCGGAUAGGAGCUCCUGCUGCAUGGUGGGGGUUGGAAAGUUUCGGCUGUUGGGUAUGGACUCGCGGCUUAUCAGCUUGUUGGUGGGGUAGUGGCUUACCAAGGCUUUGACGGGUAGCCGGCCUGAGAGGGGGAUCGGCCACACGGGAACGGAGACACGGUCCAGACUCCUACGGGAGGCAGCAGUGGGGAAUAGGGCGCAAGGGGCGGAAGCCUGACGGAGCAACGCCGCGUGAGGGAUGAAGGGCUUCGGAGCGUAAAGAUGUGUUAGUAGGGAAGAAAAAAAGGGGAAGGAACUAUGCACGGCUUGACGGUACCGAAUCAGAAAGCAACGGCUAACUACGUG